AACGAACGCUGGCGGCAGGCUUAACACAUGCAAGUCGAACGCCCCGCAAGGGGAGUGGCAGACGGGUGAGUAACACGUGGGAACAUGCCCAAAGGUACGGAAUAUUCUCGGGAAACUGGGAGCAAUACCGUAUGUGCCCGAAAGGGGAAAGAUUUAUCGCCUUUGGAUUGGCCCGCGUUGGAUUAGCUAGUUGGUGGGGUAAAAGCCUACCAAGGCGACGAUCCAUAGCUGGUCUGAGAGGACGACCAGCCACACUGGGACUGAGACACGGCCCAGACUCCUACGGGAGGCAGCAGUGGGGAAUCUUGGACAAUGGGCGCAAGCCUGAUCCAGCCAUGCCGCGUGAGUGAUGAAGGCCCUAGGGUUGUAAAAACGUCUUUCGUGGGGGACGAUAAUGACGGUACCCCAAGAAGAAGCUCCGGCUAACUUCGUG
rnacentral:rRNA from 1 species